AGCGAACGCUGGCGGCAUGCCUAACACAUGCAAGUCGCACGGGUCGGCUUCGGCCGGUCAGUGGCGGACGGGUGAGGAACGCGUAGGGAUCUGUCCUCUGGUGGUGUAUAACCGCGGGAAACUUCUGCUAAGACCGCAUGGUGCGCCGGUGUGAGAGCCGGUGUCAAAGGCGCGCAUCGCGAGGUGUGUGUCGGCGGGGGGUGAGCCUGCGUCCGAUUAGCUGGUUGGCGGGGUAGUGGCCCACCAAGGCGUCGAUCGGUAGCUGGUCUGAGAGGGAGAUCAGACACACUGGGACUGAGACACGGCGCAGACUCCUACGGGAGGGAGGAGAGGGGAAUAUUGGAAAAUGGGGGCAAGGCUGAAGCAGCAAUGGCGGGUGGGUGAAGAAGGUCUUCGGAUUGUAAAGCCCUAUGGGCGGGGACGAUGGUGACGGUACCCGCAGAAGAAGCCCCGGCUAACUUCGUG
rnacentral:rRNA from 1 species